rnacentral:rRNA from 1 species
UACGUAGGGGGCAAGCGUUAUCCGGAUUUACUGGGUGUAAAGGGAGCGUAGACGGAAUUGCAAGUCUGAUGUGAAAAUCCGGGGCCCAACCCCGGAACUGCAUUGGAAACUGUAUUUCUAGAGUGUCGGAGAGGCAAGUGGAAUUCCUGGUGUAGCGGUGAAAUGCGUAGAUAUCAGGAGGAACACCAGUGGCGAAGGCGGCUUGCUGGACGAUGACUGACGUUGAGGCUCGAAAGCGUGGGGAGCAAACAGG